rnacentral:rRNA from 1 species
UACGAAGGGGGCUAGCGUUGCUCGGAAUCACUGGGCGUAAAGCGCACGUAGGCGGAUCUUUAAGUCAGGGGUGAAAUCCUGGAGCUCAACUCCAGAACUGCCUUUGAUACUGGGGAUCUCGAGUCCGGAAGAGGUGAGUGGAACUCCGAGUGUAGAGGUGAAAUGCGUAGAUAUCAGGAGGAACACCGGUGGUGUAGACGGCUCACUGGACCGUAACUGACGCUGAGACACGAAAGCGUGGGUAGCAAACAGG